GUCUGGCUUUAGUAUAUGUGUGUGGUGAUUGGGCAGUGUAUUGUUAGUUAGCUGUUUUUCUUAUUUUCCAGCAACUGCAUACACUUCCACAUUUCCACAUGUUCUGUCAUCAGGACAGAUU
rnacentral:pre_miRNA from 12 species